rnacentral:rRNA from 1 species
UAGUCCACGCCGUAAACGAUCAUCACUCGCUGUUGGCGAUAUACUGUCAGCGGCCAAGCGAAAGUAUUAAGUGAUGCACCUGGGGAGUACGCCGGCAACGGUGAAACUCAAAGGAAUUGACGGGGGCCCGCACAAGCGGUGGAGCAUGUGGUUUAAUUCGAUGAUACGCGAGGAACCUUACCAGGGCUUAAAUGUAGUAUGACCGGCUUGGAAACAGGCCUUCUCUUCGGAGCAGAUUACAAGGUGCUGCAUGGUUGUCGUCAGCUCGUGCCGUGAGGUGCUAGGUUAAGUCCUGCAACGAGCGCAACCCCUAUUCUUAGUUGCCAGCGGUUCGGCCGGGGACUCUAAAAGACUGCCAGCGCAAGCUGAGAGGAAGGUGGGGAUGACGUCAAAUCAUCACGGCCCUUACGUCCUGGGCUGCACACGUACUACAAUGCCUGGCACAAAAGGAAGCAAGACCGCAAGGUGGAGCAAAUCCCCAAAACCAGGCUCAGUUCGGAUUGUUG